AGCCCCGUGGUGUAGCGGCCAAGCAUGCGGGACUUUGGAUCCCGCGACCCGGGUUCGAAUCCCGGCGGGGCUACCA
rnacentral:tRNA from 46 species